AACUUACACCCCUGACGUGGUUGAUUCUGUCGCUACUUAUUAUGAUUAUCGUCCUAAAGAGGUGACUUCAGGGGUU
rnacentral:ribozyme from 1 species